GACGUAGGGAGCGAGCGUUGUCCGGAUUCAUUGGGCGUAAAGCGCGCGUAGGCGGUUUUGGUAAGUCGGAUGUGAAAUCCCGAGGCUCAACCUCGGGACUGCAUCCGAUACUACCCGACUAGAGGUAGGUAGGGGGAGAUCGGAAUUCCUGGUGUAGCGGUGAAAUGCGCAGAUAUCAGGAGGAACACCGGUGCGAAGGCGGGUCUCUGGGCCGAUACUGACGCUGAGGAGCGAAAGCCGGGGAGCAAACGGG
rnacentral:rRNA from 1 species